rnacentral:snRNA from 1 species
GGAUGUGAGGGCGAUCUGGCUGUGACAUCUGUCACCCCAUUGAUCGCCAGGGUUGAUUCAGCUGAUCUGGCUGGCUAGGCAGGCGUCCCCUUCCUCCCUCCAUGCUCCAUCUGCGUUCCUCCCGAAGCUGCAGAUGACCUUCCCCGAUAGAGGAGGACCGUUCUUCAGUCAAGGGUAUACGAGUAGCCGUGCUCCCUCCUAGAACCUCCAAACAAGCUGUCAAAGUGUAUGUAACAUCAUAAAUGAGGAUUGUGCUGUCUGCC